rnacentral:rRNA from 1 species
UACAGAGGGGGCGAGCGUUGUUCGGAAUUACUGGGCGUAAAGGGCGCGUAGGCGGCCUGCUAAGUCAUACGUGAAAUCCCUCGGCUCAACCGGGGAACUGCGUGUGAUACUGGCGGGCUUGAAUCCGGGAGAGGAAUGCGGAAUUCCAGGUGUAGCGGUGAAAUGCGUAGAUAUCUGGAGGAACACCGGUGGCGAAGGCGGCGUUCUGGACCGGCAUUGACGCUGAGGCGCGAAAGCCAGGGGAGCAAACGGG